CCCCUCCUUCCACCCCCUUCCUCCCAUCCCCUCCUUUCAUCCCCUCCUCUCCUCUCCGGCCCCACCCCUCUUCUCCUCUCUGGCCUCACCCCUCCUCUCACUCCUCCUUCCAGAUGCCCCACCUCCCUACUGUUUCUCCCUGGCCCCUCCCCUCCCCCACUCCCUCCUUCCCACCUCCCUCCCGCGCUGUCCUCCCUGAGGCUGUACCUCCUGUGGGUAGGAAGUCUAUAUUCCAGGAGCUGACACUGCUUCUGGCACUUAGCAGGGCUCAUGGCAUUUAAUUUGUGCCUUGAGGAUAAAAAUAAUAAUAGUUCCACUUUCUGGGCACUCGUCUCCUGCAGCCCCUGUCACGGACUUGCUGGAGUGUUACCUCUUUGAAGCCUCACUCCCGCCCGUUAGGAAGCUGCUGCAGUCCUGACUCCUGCGUCACAGCUGUGAAGGGGAGAUGGCCACUUUGGACCACGAGAAAUAUCAAUAUCAAACGCCCUUUCUUUUCAUGCCCUCACCUUCCUCACCCAGUGUCAGCUCAUAUCAGGGGGCCCUGAGCUUCCUGGAAGGUCACCUUACCAGUCCUCUGCAGGACCGAGGCUGUGUGGACGGAGGCUGUGUGGAUGGAGAUCCCACCAUCACCGAGUUCGGGCAAGUCCCAUGAGGGUCUCAGCUCCUCAUCCGUAACAUCAGGAUGAUAAAGCCUCCCUCGCAGGAUGGCCGUGCGAGUGCCCAGAUCCCAGGAGAGGGCUGGUAAAUGGGCGUUGCCUGCCCCAUCCCUUUCUACCUGCACGGAAAAGGAGAGAUGGCCCAGCCUCAGGUCAUCAGGACCCUUGAGCCAACCCUGCAUCUCAGCCCUGACUCCCACCCAGAAUGCCGGCCUUCCUCACCAAGGGUCUGGCUGACACCUCUGCGAUGCUCAUCACUAGUCACUUGGGAUUCCCUGGUGAUAUGGUUUGGCUGUGUCCCCACCCAACUCUCAUCUUGAAUUGUAGUUCCCAUAAUCCCCACAUGUCAUGGGAGGGACGGGGUGGAGAUAAUUCAAUCAUGGAGCGGUUUCCUCUGUCCUGUUCUCAUGAUAGUGAGCUAGUUCUCACGAGAUCUGAUUGUUUUAUAAAGGGCUUCUUUCUUCGCUGGGCACUCAUUCUCUCUCCUGCCAUCAUGUGAAGAGGGUCUUUGCUUCCCCUUUACUUUCCAUCAUGAUUGUAAGUUUCCUGAGGUCUCCCCAGCCAUGCGGAACUGUGAGUCAAUUAAACCUCUUUCCUUUAUAAAUUACCCAGUCUUGGGUAUUCCUUCAUAGAAGCAUGAGAAUAGACUAGUACACCUGGGGAGCAAGGCCUAGGGUGAAAAGUGAAGCUCAGAGCAGUUACCCUCC
rnacentral:lncRNA from 1 species